GAUGAACGCUGGCGGCGCGCCUAACACAUGCAAGUCGAACGGCACCUAUCUUCGGAUAGAAGCGAGUGGCGAACGGCUGAGUAACACGUGGAGAACCUGCCCCCUCCCCCGGGAUAGCCGCCCGAAAGGACGGGUAAUACCGGAUACCCCCGGGCGCCGCAUGGCGCCCGGGCUAAAGCCCCGACGGGAGGGGAUGGCUCCGCGGCCCAUCAGGUAGACGGCGGGGUGACGGCCCACCGUGCCGACAACGGGUAGCCGGGUUGAGAGACCGACCGGCCAGAUUGGGACUGAGACACGGCCCAGACUCCUACGGGAGGCAGCAGUGGGGAAUCUUGCGCAAUGGGGGGAACCCUGACGCAGCGACGCCGCGUGCGGGACGGAGGCCUUCGGGUCGUAAACCGCUUUCAGCAGGGAAGAGUCAAGACUGU
rnacentral:rRNA from 1 species